UACGGGGGGGGCAAGCGUUGUUCGGAAUUACUGGGCGUAAAGCGCACGUAGGCGGCUUUGUAAGUUAGAGGUGAAAGCCCGGGGCUCAACCCCGGAAUUGCCUUUAAGACUGCAUCGCUAGAAUUGUGGAGAGGUAAGUGGAAUUCCGAGUGUAGAGGUGAAAUUCGUAGAUAUUCGGAAGAACACCAGUGGCGAAGGCGACUUACUGGACACAUAUUGACGCUGAGGUGCGAAAGCGUGGGGAGCGAACAGG
rnacentral:rRNA from 1 species